rnacentral:rRNA from 1 species
UACAGAGGUCUCAAGCGUUGUUCGGAAUCACUGGGCGUAAAGCGUGCGUAGGCUGUUUCGUAAGUCGUGUGUGAAAGGCGCGGGCUCAACCCGCGGACGGCACAUGAUACUGCGAGACUAGAGUAAUGGAGGGGGAACCGGAAUUCUCGGUGUAGCAGUGAAAUGCGUAGAUAUGUGGAAGAACACCGAUGGCGAAGGCAGCCUCCUGGGACGCAACUGACGCUCAUACACGAAAGCGUGGGGAGCAAACAGG